AUGGAAAACAAAAUCAAAUAAGAGAAAAGGGCACUAGAGAAACCAAUGACGCGAACAGGCUCAUAACUGACUUGUAUGUAUGUGUCUCGGUGGUUCCCCUCGCCCCACCCCCGCCUGUUUUUUUUUUUUUUUUUCUUCCAACCUCUUAGGCACCCGGAACUAGUCGUCACAUGUCCAAAUUGUAAGGACAGGUUCUCUAGUCACAGUCUGCUGAAGUGGCACCAGAGGAAAUGUAACAAUCAACCCCACUUCUCUUGUUUUAUCUCUAUUUCCCUAUCUCUUAUUGUUUUUGUAAUUAAUA
rnacentral:ribozyme from 12 species